UACAGAGGGUGCAAGCGUUAAUCGGAAUUACUGGGCGUAAAGCGUGCGCAGGCGGUUUUGUAAGCCAGGUGUGAAAUCCCCGGGCUCAACCUGGGAAUGGCAUUUGGGACUGCAAGGCUGGAGUGCGGCAGAGGAGACUGGAAUUCCUGGUGUAGCAGUGAAAUGCGUAGAUAUCAGGAGGAAUACCGAUGGCGAAGGCAGGUCUCUGGGCUGACACUGACGCUCAUGCACGAAAGCGUGGGGAGCAAACGGG
rnacentral:rRNA from 1 species